rnacentral:rRNA from 1 species
GCCUUAGCGCGGUGGUCCCACCUGACCCCAUGCCGAACUCAGAAGUGAAACGCCGUAGCGCCGAUGGUAGUGUGGGGUUUCCCCAUGCGAGAGUAGGGAACUGCCA